GACGAACGCUGGCGGCGUGCUUAACACAUGCAAGUCGAACGGAAAGGCCCUGCUUUUGUGGGGUGCUCGAGUGGCGAACGGGUGAGUAACACGUGAGUAACCUGCCCUUGACUUUGGGAUAACUUCAGGAAACUGGGGCUAAUACCGGAUAGGAGCUCCUGCUGCAUGGUGGGGGUUGGAAAGUUUCGGCGGUUGGGGAUGGACUCGCGGCUUAUCAGCUUGUUGGUGGGGUAGUGGCUUACCAAGGCUUUGACGGGUAGCCGGCCUGAGAGGGUGACCGGCCACAUUGGGACUGAGAUACGGCCCAGACUCCUACGGGAGGCAGCAGUGGGGAAGAUUGCACAAUGGGCGGAAGCCAGAUGCAGCAACGCCGCGUGCGGGAUGACGGCCUUCGGGUUGUAAACCGCUUUCGCCUGUGACGAAGCGUGAGUGACGGUAAUGGGUAAAGAAGCACCGGCUAACUACGUG
rnacentral:rRNA from 1 species